AUUGAACGCUGGCGGCAUGCCUUACACAUGCAAGUCGAACGGUAACAGGUCUUCGGAUGCUGACGAGUGGCGAACGGGUGAGUAAUACAUCGGAACGUGCCCGAUCGUGGGGGAUAACGAGGCGAAAGCUUUGCUAAUACCGCAUACGAUCUACGGAUGACAGCGGGGGAUCUUCGGACCUCGCGCGGACGGAGCGGCCGAUGGCAGAUUAGGUAGUUGGUGGGAUAAAAGCUUACCAAGCCGACGAUCUGUAGCUGGUCUGAGAGGAUGAUCAGCCACACUGGGACUGAGACACGGCCCAGACUCCUACGGGAGGCAGCAGUGGGGAAUUUUGGACAAAGGGCGAAAGCCUGAUCCAGCCAUGCCGCGUGCAGGAUGAAGGCCUUCGGGUUGUAAACUGCUUUUGUACGGAACGAAAAGCCUCUUUCUAAUAAAGAGGGGUCAUGACGGUACCGUAAGAAUAAGCACCGGCUAACUACGUG
rnacentral:rRNA from 1 species